rnacentral:rRNA from 1 species
GACGAACGCUGGCGGCGUGCUUAACACAUGCAAGUCGAACGGAAAGGCCCUGCUUUUGUGGGGUGCUCGAGUGGCGAACGGGUGAGUAACACGUGAGUAACCUGCCCUUGACUUUGGGAUAACUUCAGGAAACUGGGGCUAAUACCGGAUAGGAGCUCCUGCUUCAUGGUGGGGGUUGGAAAGUUUCGGCGGUUGGGGAUGGACUCGCGGCUUAUCAGCUUGUUGGUGGGGUAGUGGCUUACCAAGGCUUUGACGGGUAGCCGGCCUGAGAGGGUGACCGGCCACAUUGGGACUGAGAUACGGCCCAGACUCCUACGGGAGGCAGCAGUGGGGAAUAUUGCGCAAUGGGCGGAAGCCUGAUGCAGCAACGCCGCGUGCGGGAUGACGGCCUUCGGGUUGUAAACCGCUUUCGCCUGUGACGAAGCGUGAGUGACGGUAAUGGGUAAAGAAGCACCGGCUAACUACGUG